GCAGAGUAAACAUUUGUGCGUUAAGUGUCAGAUGAACGGGGAGUUGUCACUGAACGAAAAACUUAAGUUAAGUUUGCGGUACAAAUGUUGCAUCCCGCUGC
rnacentral:ncRNA from 1 species